UUGCCAGGGACCCAGAACUGAUAAUCAGGACUUUUAGGCUGGGCUUUUCAUUGACAUGGCCAAUCAAAAGCCCAGUCCUACCUUCAGAACAGAGCUUCACAGUUUGUACCCAACAGUCAUUGCCAAGGACCCAGAACUGAUAGUCAGGACUUUAAGGCUGGGUGAAUAAAAAAUUGAUGGUUGGAAAAUUAAGGAGGAGUUCUCUUGUUUGUGUUUUGACAUUUUGGAGGUGUUCACAGAUGAAGACAAGGACAAAUGGGGAGUUGAACCAGCGACCUUUGGAUCACAGCACUUCCUACAGUCCUCUGCUGUACCAACUGAGCUAUCGAGGUGCUGUCUACUCACAAGUGCAGAAAACAUAGUGGCUGAGACGACACACUUUGCCCACACAACUAUUUGAUCCACAUGGUCAAUGAAAAGCCAAGCCCUCCCUGCAGAACAAAGCUUCACAGUUUGUACCCAACAGUCAUUGCCAGGGACCCAGAACUGAUAAUCAGGACUUUUAGGCUUGGAUUUUGAUUGACAUGGCUAAUCAAAAGCCCAGUCCUACCUUCAGGACAGAGCUUCACAGUUUGUACCCAACAGUCAUUGCCAAGGACCCAGAACUGAUAGUCAGGACUUUAAGGCUGGGUGAAUAAAAAAAUGAUGGUUGGAAAACUAAGGAGAACUUCUCUUGUUUGUGUUUUGACAUUUUGGAGGUGUUCACAGAUGAAGACAAGGACAAGCGGGGAGUUGAACCAGCGACCUUUGCAUUACAGCACUUCAUGUGAAGAACUUCCUACAGUCCUCUGCUCUACCAACUGAGCUAUCGAGUUGCUCUCUCCUCACAAGUGCAGAAAACAUAGUGGCUGAGACGACACACUUUGCCCACACAACUUUUUGAUCCACAUGGUCAAUGAAAAGCCCAGCCCUACCUGCAGAACAAAGCUUCGCAGUUUGUAUCCAACAGUCAUUGCCAGGGACCCAGAACUGAUAAUCAGGACUUUUAGGCUGGGCUUUUCAUUGACAUGGCCAAUCAAAAGCCCAGUCCUACCUUCAGAACAGAGCUUCACAGUUUGUACCCAACAGUCAUUGCCAAGGACCCAGAACAGAUAGUCAGGACUUUAAGGCUGGGAAAAUCAAAAAUUGAUGGUUGGAAAACUAAGGAGGACUUCUCUUGUUUGUAUUUUGACAUUUUGGAGGUGUUCACAGAUGAAGACAAGGACAAGCGGGGAGUUGAACCAGCGACCUUUGCAUCACAGCACUUCAUGUGAAGAACUUCCUACAGUCCUCUGCUCUACCAACUGAGCUAUCGAGGUGAUCUCUACUCACAAGUGCAGAAAACAUAGUGGCUGAGACGACACACUUUGCCCACACAACUUUUUGAUCCACAUGGUCAAUGAAAAGCCCAGCCCUACCUGCAGAACAAAGCUUCGUAGUUUGUAUCCAACAGUCAUUGCCAGGGACCCAGAACUGAUAAUCAGGACUUUUAGGCUGGGCUUUUCAUUGACAUGGCCAAUCAAAAGCCCAGUCCUACCUUCAGAACAGAGCUUCACAGUUUGUACCCAACAGUCAUUGCCAAGGACCCAGAACUGAUAGUCAGGACUUUGAGGCUGGGUGAAUAAAAAAUUGAUGGUUGGAAAACUAAGGAGGAGUUCUCUUGUUUGUGUUUUGACAUUUUGGAGGUGUUCACAGAUGAAGACAAGGACAAGCGGGGAGUUGAACCAGCGACCUUUGCAUCACAGCACUUCAUGUGAGGAACUUCCUACAGGCCUCUGCUCUUCCAACUGAGCUAUCGAGUUGCUCUCUGCUCACAAGUGCAGAAAACAUAGUGGCUGAGACGACACAGUUUGCCCACACAACUUUUUGAUCCACAUGGUCAAUGAAAAGCCCAGCCCUACCUGAAGAACAAAGCUUCGCAGUUUGUAUCCAACAGUCAUUGCCAGGGACCCAGAACUGAUAAUCAGGACUUUUAGGCUGGGCUUUUCAUUGACAUGGCCAAUCAAAAGCCCAGUCCUACCUUCAGAACAGAGCUUCACAGUUUGUACCCAACAGUCAUUGCCAAGGACCCAGAACUGAUAGUCAGGACUUUAAGGCUGGGUGAAUAAAAAAUUGAUGGUUGGAAAAUUAAGGAGGAGUUCUCUUGUUUGUGUUUUGACAUUUUGGAGGUGUUCACAGAUGAAGACAAGGACAAGCUGGGAGUUGAACCAGCGACCUUUGCAUCACAGCACUUCAUGUGAGGAACUUCCUACAGUCCUCUGCUCUACCAACUGAGCUAUCGAGGUGCUCUCUACUCACAAGUGCAGAAAACAUAGUGGCUGAGACGACACACUUUGCCCACACAACUAUUUGAUCCACAUGGUCAAUGAAAAGCCCAGCCCUAUCUGCAGAACAAAGCUUCGCAGUUUGUACCCAACAGUCAUUGCCAGGGACCCAGAGCUGAUAAUCAGGACUUUUAGGCUGGGCCUUUCAUUGACAUGGCCAAUCAAAAGCCCAGUCCUACCUUCAGAACAGAGCUUCACAGUUUGUACCCAACAGUCAUUGCCAAGGACCCAGAACUGAUAGUCAGGACUUUGAGGCUGGGUGAAUAAAAAAUUGAUGGUUGGAAAACUAAGGAGGAGUUCUCUUGUUUGUGUUUUGACAUUUUGGAGGUGUUCACAGAUGAAGACAAGGACAAGCGGGGAGUUGAACCAGCGACCUUUGGAUCACAGCACUUCAUGUGAGGAACUUGCUACAGUCCUCUGCUCUACCAACUGAGCUAUCGAGGUGCUCUCUACUCACAAGUGCAGAAAACAUAGUGGCUGAGACGACACACUUUGCCCACACAACUAUUUGAUCCACAUGGUCAAUGAAAAGCCAAGCCCUACCUGCAGAACAAAGCUUCGCAGUUUGUACCCAACAGUCAUUGCCAGGGACCCAGAACUGAUAAUCAGGACUUUUAGGCUUGGAUUUUGAUUGACAUGGCUAAUCAAAAGCCCAGUCCUACCUUCAGGACAGAGCUUCACAGUUUGUACCCAACAGUCAUUGCCAAGGACCCAGAACUGAUAGUCAGGACUUUAAGGCUGGGUGAAUAAAAAAUUGAUGGUUGGAAAAUUAAGGAGGAGUUCUCUUGUUUGUGUUUUGACAUUUUGGAGGUGUUCACAGAUGAAGACAAGCGGGGAGUUGAACCAGCGACCUUUGGAUCACAGCACUUCAUGUGAGGAACUUCCUAAAGUCCUCUGCUCUACCAACUGAGCUAUCGAGGUGCUCUCUACUCACAAGUGCAGAAAACAUAGUGGCUGAGACGACACACUUUGCCCACACAACUAUUUGAUCCACAUGGUCAAUGAAAAGCCAAGCCCUACCUGCAGAACAAAGCUUCGCAGUUUGUACCCAACAGUCAUUGCCAGGGACCCAGAACUGAUAAUCAGGACUUUUAGGCUUGGAUUUUGAUUGACAUGGCUAAUCAAAAGCCCAGUCCUACCUUCAGGACAGAGCUUCACAGUUUGUACCCAACAGUCAUUGCCAAGGACCCAGAACUGAUAGUCAGGACUUUAAGGCUGGGUGAAUAAAAAAUUGAUGGUUGGAAAAUUAAGGAGGAGUUCUCUUGUUUGUGUUUUGACAUUUUGGAGGUGUUCACAGAUGAAGACAAGCGGGGAGUUGAACCAGCGACCUUUGGAUCACAGCACUUAAUGUGAGGAACUUCCUACAGUCCUCUGCUCUACCAACUGAGCUAUCGAGGUGCUCUCUACUCACAAGUGCAGAAAACAUAGUGGCUGAGACGACACACUUUGCCCACACAACUAUUUGAUCCACAUGGUCAAUGAAAAGCCCAGCCCUACCUGCAGAACAAAGCUUCGCAGUUUGUACCCAACAGUCAUUGCCAGGGACCCAGAACUGAUAAUCAGGACUUUUAGGCUGGGCUUUUCAUUGACAUGGCCAAUCAAAAGCCCAGUCCUACCUUCAGAACAGAGCUUCACAGUUUGUACCCAACAGUCAUUGCCAAGGACCCAGAACUGAUAGUCAGGACUUUAAGGCUGGGAGAAUAAAAAAUUGAUGGUUGGAAAACUAAGGAGAACUUCUCUUGUUUGUGUUUUGACAUUUUGGAGGUGUUCACAGAUGAAGACAAGGACAAGCUGGGAGUUGAACCAGCGACCUUUGCAUUACAGCACUUCAUGUGAAGAACUUCCUACAGUCCUCUGCUCUACCAACUGAGCUAUCGAGGUGAUCUCUACUCACAAGUGCAGAAAACAUAGUGGCUGAGACGACACACUUUGCCCACACAACUUUUUGAUCCACAUGGUCAAUGAAAAGCCCAGCCCUACCUGCAGAACAAAGCUUCGCAGUUUGUAUCCAACAGUCAUUGCCAGGGACCCAGAACUGAUAAUCAGGACUUUUAGGCUGGGCUUUUCAUUGACAUGGCCAAUCAAAAGCCCAGUCCUACCUUCAGAACAGAGCUUCACAGUUUGUACCCAACAGUCAUUGCCAAGGACCCAGAACUGAUAGUCAGGACUUUAAGGCUGGGAAAAUAAAAAAUUGAUGGUUGGAAAACUAAGGAGGACUUCUCUUGUUUGUGUUUUGACAUUUUGGAGGUGUUCACAGAUGAAGACAAGGACAAGCGGGGAGUUGAACCAGCGACCUUUGCAUCACAGCACUUCAUGUGAAGAACUUCCUACAGUCCUCUGCUCUACCAACUGAGCUAUCGAGGUGAUCUCUACUCACAAGUGCAGAAAACAUAGUGGCUGAGACGACACACUUUGCCCACACAACUUUUUGAUCCACAUGGUCAAUGAAAAGCCCAGCCCUACCUGCAGAACAAAGCUUCGUAGUUUGUAUCCAACAGUCAUUGCCAGGGACCCAGAACUGAUAAUCAGGACUUUUAGGCUGGGCUUUUCAUUGACAUGGCCAAUCAAAAGCCCAGUCCUACCUUCAGAACAGAGCUUCACAGUUUGUACCCAACAGUCAUUGCCAAGGACCCAGAACUGAUAGUCAGGACUUUGAGGCUGGGUGAAUAAAAAAUUGAUGGUUGGAAAACUAAGGAGGAGUUCUCUUGUUUGUGUUUUGACAUUUUGGAGGUGUUCACAGAUGAAGACAAGGACAAGCGGGGAGUUGAACCAGCGACCUUUGCAUCACAGCACUUCAUGUGAGGAACUUCCUACCGGCCUCUGCUCUUCCAACUGAGCUAUCGAGUUGCUCUCUCCUCACAAGUGCAGAAAACAUAGUGGCUGAGACGACACACUUUGCCCACACAACUUUUUGAUCCACAUGGUCAAUGAAAAGCCCAGCCCUACCUGAAGAACAAAGCUUCGCAGUUUGUAUCCAACAGUCAUUGCCAGGGACCCAGAACUGAUAAUCAGGACUUUUAGGCUGGGCUUUUCAUUGACAUGGCCAAUCAAAAGCCCAGUCCUACCUUCAGAACAGAGCUUCACAGUUUGUACCCAACAGUCAUUGCCAAGGACCCAGAACUGAUAGUCAGGACUUUGAGGCUGGGUGAAUAAAAAAUUGAUGGUUGGAAAACUAAGGAGGAGUUCUCUUGUUUGUGUUUUGACAUUUUGGAGGUGUUCACAGAUGAAGACAAGGACAAGCGGGGAGUUGAACCAGCGACCUUUGGAUCACAGCACUUCAUGUGAGGAACUUGCUACAGUCCUCUGCUCUACCAACUGAGCUAUCGAGGUGCUCUCUACUCACAAGUGCAGAAAACAUAGUGGCUGAGACGACACACUUUGCCCACACAACUAUUUGAUCCACAUGGUCAAUGAAAAGCCAAGCCCUACCUGCAGAACAAAGCUUCGCAGUUUGUACCCACACAGUCAUUGCCAGGGACCCAGAACUGAUAAUCAGGACUUUUAGGCUUGGAUUUUGAUUGACAUGGCUAAUCAAAAGCCCAGUCCUACCUUCAGGACAGAGCUUCACAGUUUGUACCCAACAGUCAUUGCCAAGGACCCAGAACUGAUAGUCAGGACUUUAAGGCUGGGUGAAUAAAAAAUUGAUGGUUGGAAAAUUAAGGAGGAGUUCUCUUGUUUGUGUUUUGACAUUUUGGAGGUGUUCACAGAUGAAGACAAGCGGGGAGUUGAACCAGCGACCUUUGGAUCACAGCACUUCAUGUGAGGAACUUCCUAAAGUCCUCUGCUCUACCAACUGAGCUAUCGAGGUGCUCUCUACUCACAAGUGCAGAAAACAUAGUGGCUGAGACGACACACUUUGCCCACACAACUAUUUGAUCCACAUGGUCAAUGAAAAGCCCAGCCCUACCUGCAGAACAAAGCUUCGCAGUUUGUACCCAACAGUCAUUACCAGGGACCCAGAACUGAUAAUCAGGACUUUAAGGCUUGGCUUUUGAUUGACAUGGCCAAUCAAAAGCCCAGUCCUACCUUCAGAACAGAGCUUCACAGUUUGUACCCGACAGUCAUUGCCAAGGACCCAGAACUGAUAGUCAGGACUUUAAAUUGGGUGAAUAAAAAAUUGAUGGUUGGAAAAUUAAGGAGGAGUUCUCUUGUUUGUGUUUUGACAUUUUGGAGGUGUUCACAGAUGAAGACAUGGACAAGCGGGGAGAUGAACUAGCGACCUUUGGAUCACAGCACUUCCUACAGUCCUCUGCUCUACCAACUGAGCUAUCGAGGUGCUCUCUACACACAAGUGCAGAAAACAUAGUGGCUGAGACGACACACUUUGCCCACACAACUAUUUGAUCCACAUGGUCAAUGAAAAGCCCAGCCCUACCUGCAGAACAAAGCUUCGCAGUUUGUACCCAACAGUCAUUGCCAGGGACCCAGAACUGAUAAUCAGGACUUUUAGGCUUGGCUUUUUAUUGACAUGGCUAAUCAAAAGCCCAGUCCUACCUUCAGAACAGAGCUUCACAGUUUGUACCCGACAGUCAUUGCCAAGGACCCAGAACUGAUAGUCAGGACUUUAAGGCUGGGUGAAUAAAAAAUUGAUGGUUGGAAAAUUAAGGAGGAGUUCUCUUGUUUGUGUUUUGACAUUUUGGAGGUGUUCACAGAUGAAAACAAGGACAAGCUGGGAGUUGAACCAGCGACCUUUGGAUCACAGCACUUCAUGUGAGGAACUUCCUACAGUCCUCUGCUCUACCAACUGAGCUAUCGAGGUGCUCUCUACUCACAAGUGCAGAAAACAUAGUGGCUGAGACGACACACUUUGCCCACACAACUAUUUGAUCCACAUGGUCAAUGAAAAGCCAAGCCCUACCUGCAGAACAAAGCUUCGCAGUUUGUAGCCAACAGUCAUUGCCAGGGACCCAGAACUGAUAAUCAGGACUUUUAGGCUUGGAUUUUGAUUGACAUGGCUAAUCAAAAGCCCAGUCCUACCUUCAGGACAGAGCUUCACAGUUUGUACCCAACAGUCAUUGCCAAGGACCCAGAACUGAUAGUCAGGACUUUAAGGCUGGGUGAAUAAAAAAUUGAUGGUUGGAAAAUUAAGGAGGAGUUCUCUUGUUUGUGUUUUGACAUUUUGGAGGUGUUCACAGAUGAAGACAAGCGGGGAGUUGAACCAGCGACCUUUGGAUCACAGCACUUCAUGUGAGGAACUUCCUAAAGUUCUCUGCUCUACCAACUGAGCUAUCGAGGUGCUCUCUACUCACAAGUGCAGAAAACAUAGUGGCUGAGACGACACACUUUGCCCACACAACUAUUUGAUCCACAUGGUCAAUGAAAACCCCGGCCCUACCUGCAGAACAAAGCUUUGCAGUUUGUACCCAACAGUCAUUACCAGGGACCCAGAACUGAUAAUCAGGACUUUUAGGCUUGGAUUUUGAUUGACAUGGCUAAUCAAAAGCCCAGUCCUACCUUCAGGACAGAGCUUCACAGUUUGUACCCAACAGUCAUUGCCAAGGACCCAGAACUGAUAGUCAGGACUUUAAGGCUGGGUGAAUAAAAAAUUGAUGGUUGGAAAAUUAAGGAGGAGUUCUCUUGUUUGUGUUUUGACAUUUUGGAGGUGUUCACAGAUGAAGACAAGCGGGGAGUUGAACCAGCGACCUUUGGAUCACAGCACUUCAUGUGAGGAACUUCCUAAAGUCCUCUGCUCUACCAACUGAGCUAUCGAGGUGCUCUCUACUCACAAGUGCAGAAAACAUAGUGGCUGAGACGACACACUUUGCCCACACAACUAUUUGAUCCACAUGGUCAAUGAAAAGCCAAGCCCUACCUGCAGAACAAAGCUUCGCAGUUUGUACCCAACAGUCAUUGCCAGGGACCCAGAACUGAUAAUCAGGACUUUUAGGCUUGGCUUUUGAUUGACAUGGCCAAUCAAAAGCCCAGUCCUACCUUCAGAACAGAGCUUCACAGUUUGUACCCGACAGUCAUUGCCAAGGACCCAGAACUGAUAGUCAGGACUUUAAGGCUGGGUGUAUAAAAAAUUGAUGGUUGGAAAAUUAAGGAGGAGUUCUCUUGUUUGUGUUUUGACAUUUUGGAGGUGUUCACAGAUGAAGACAAGCGGGGAGUUGAACCAGCGACCUUUGGAUCACAGCACUUCAUGUGAGGAACUUCCUACAGUCCUCUGCUCUACCAACUGAGCUAUCAAGGUGCUGACUACUCACAAGUGCAGAAAACAUAGUGGCUGAGACGACAUACUUUGCCCACACAACUAUUUGAUCCACAUGGUCAAUGAAAAGCCCGGCCCUACCUGCAGAACAAAGCUUCGCAGUUUGUACCCAACAGUCAUUGCCAGGGACCAGGAACUGAUAAUCAGGACUUAUAGGCUUGGCUUUUUAUUGACAUGGCUAAUCAAAAGCCCAGUCCUACCUUCAGAACAGAGCUUCACAGUUUGUACCCGACAGUCAUUGCCAAGGACCCAGAACUGAUAGUCAGGACUUUAAAUUGGGUGAAUAAAAAAUUGAUGGUUGGAAAAUUAAGGAGGAGUUCUCUUGUUUGUGUUUUGACAUUUUGGAGGUGUUCACAGAUGAAGACAUGGACAAGCGGGGAGUUGAACCAGCGACCUUUGGAUCACAGCACUUCCUACAGUCCUCUGCUCUACCAACUGAGCUAUCGAGGUGCUCUCUACUCAAAAGUGCAGAAAACAUAGUGGCUGAGACGACACACUUUGCCCACACAACUAUUUGAUCCACAUGGUCAAUGAAAAGCCCAGCCCUACCUGCAGAACAAAGCUUCGCAGUUUUUACCCAACAGUCAUUACCAGGGACCCAGAACUGAUAAUCAGGACUUUUAGGCUUGGCUUUUGAUUGACAUGGCCAAUCAAAAGCCCAGUCCUACCUUCAGAACAGAGCUUCACAGUUUGUACCCGACAGUCAUUGCCAAGGACCCAGAACUGAUAGUCAGGACUUUAAGGCUGGGUGAAUAAAAAAUUGAUGGUUGGAAAAUUUAGGAGGAGUUCUCUUGUUUGUGUUUUGACAUUUUGGAGGUGUUCACAGAUGAAGACAAGGACAAAUGGGGAGUUGAACCAGCGACCUUUGGAUCACAGCACUUCCUACAGUCCUCUGCUCUACCAACUGAGCUAUCGAGGUGGUCUCUACUCAAAAGUGCAGAAAACAUAGUGGCUGAGACGACACACUUUGCCCACACAACUAUUUGAUCCACAUGGUCAAUGAAAAGCCCAGCCCUACCUGCAGAACAAAGCUUCGCAGUUUGUACCCAAAAGUCAUUGCCAGGGACCCAGAACUGAUAAUCAGGACUUUUAGGCUUGGAUUUUGAUUGACAUGGCUAAUCAAAAGCCCAGUCCUACCUUCAGGACAGAGCUUCACAGUUUGUACCCAACAGUCAUUGCCAAGGACCCAGAACUGAUAGUCAGGACUUUAAGGCUGGGUGAAUAAAAAAUUGAUGGUUGGAAAAUUAAGGAGGAGUUCUCUUGUUUGUGUUUUGACAUUUUGGAGGUGUUCACAGAUGAAGACAAGCGGGGAGUUGAACCAGCGACCUUUGGAUGACAGCACUUCAUGUGAGGAACUUCCUACAGUCCUCUGCUCUACCAACUGAGCUAUCGAGGUGCUCUCUACUCACAAGUGCAGAAAACAUAGUGGCUGAGACGACAUACUUUGCCCACACAACUAUUUGAUCCACAUGGUUAAUGAAAAGCCCAGCCCUACCUGCAGAACAAAGCUUCGCAGUUUGUACCCAACAGUCAUUGCCAGGGACCCAGAACUGAUAAUCAGGACUUUUAGGCUUGGCUUUUUAUUGACAUGGCUAAUCAAAAGCCCAGUCCUACCUUCAGAACAGAGCUUCACAGUUUGUACCCGACAGUCAUUGCCAAGGACCCAGAACUGAUAGUCAGGACUUUAAGGCUGAGUGAAUAAAAAAUUGAUGGUUGGAAAAUUAAGGAGGAGUUCUCUUGUUUGUGUUUUGACAUUUUGGAGGUGUUCACAGAUGAAGACAUGGACAAGCGGGGAGUUGAACCAGCGACCUUUGGAUCACAGCACUUCCUACAGUCCUCUGCUCUACCAACUGAGCUAUCGAGGUGCUCUCUACUCACAAGUGCAGAAAACAUAGUGGCUGAGACGACACACUUUGCCCACACAACAAUUUGAUCCACAUGGUCAAUGAAAAGCCCAGCCCUACCUGCAGAAUAAAGCUUCGCAGUUUGUACCCAACAGUCAUUGCCAGGGACCCAGAAAUGAUUAUCAGGACUUUUAGGCUUGGCUUUUGAUUGACAUGGCCAAUCAAAAGCCCAGUCCUACCUUCAGAACAGAGCCUCACAGUUUGUACCCGACAGUCAUUGCCAAGGACCCAGAACUGAUAGUCAGGACUUUAAGGCUGGGUGAAUAAAAAAUUGAUGGUUGGAAAAUUAAGGAGGAGUUCUCUUGUUUGUGUUUUGACAUUUUGGAGGUGUUCACAGAUGAAGACAAGGACAAAUGGGGAGUUGAACCAGCGACCUUUGGAUCACAGCACUUCAUGUGAGGAACUUGCUACAGUCCGCUGCUCUACCAACUGAGCUAUCGAGGUGCUCUCUACUCACAAGUGCAGAAAACAUAGUGGCUGAGACGACACACUUUGCCCACACAACUAUUUGAUCCACAUGGUCAAUGAAAAGCUCAGCCCUACCUGCAGAAUAAAGCUUCGCAGUUUGUACCCAACAGUCAUUGCCAGGGACCCAGAACUGAUAAUCAGGACUUUUAGGCUUGGCUUUUUAUUGACAUGGCUAAUCAAAAGCCCAGUCCUACCUUCAGAACAGAGCUUCACAGUUUGUACCCGACAGUCAUUGCCAAGGACCCAGAACUGAUAGUCAGGACUUUAAAUUGGGUGAAUAAAAAAUUGAUGGUUGGAAAAUUAAGGAGGAGUUCUCUUGUUUGUGUUUUGACAUUUUGGAGGUGUUCAGAGAUGAAGACAUGGACAAGCGGGGAGUUGAACCAGCGACCUUUGGAUCACAGCACUUCCUACAGUCCUCUGCUCUACCAACUGAGCUAUCGAGGUGCUCUCUACUCACAAGUGCAGAAAACAUAGUGGCUGAGACGACACACUUUGCCCACACAACUAUUUGAACCACAUGGUCAAUGAAAAGCCCAGCCCUACCUGCAGAACAAAGCUUCGCAGUUUGUACCCAACAGUCAUUACCAGGGACCCAGAAAUGAUUAUCAGGACUUUUAGGCUUGGCUUUUGAUUGACAUGGCCAAUCAAAAGCCCAGUCCUACCUUCAGAACAGAGCUUCACAGUUUGUAUCCGACAGUCAUUGCCAAGGACCCAGAACUGAUAGUCAGGACUUUAAGGCUGGGUGAAUAAAAAAUUGAUGGUUGGAAAAUUAAGGAGGAGUUCUCUUGUUUGUGUUUUGACAUUUUGGAGGUGUUCACAGAUGAAGACAAGGACAAAUGGGGAGUUGAACCAGCGACCUUUGGAUCAAAGCACUUCAUGUGAGGAACUUCCUAAAGUCCUCUGCUCUACCAACUGAGCUAUCGAGGUCCUCUCUACUCACAAGUGCAGAAAACAUAGUGGCUGAGACGACACACUUUGCCCACACAACUAUUUGAUCCACAUGGUCAAUGAAAAGCCCAGCCCUACCUGCAGAAUAAAGCUUCGCAGUUUGUACCCAACAGUCAUUGCCAGGGACCCAGAACUGAUAAUCAGGACUUUUAGGCUUGGAUUUUGAUUGACAUGGCUAAUCAAAAGCCCAGUCCUACCUUCAGGACAGAGCUUCACAGUUUGUAUCCAACAGUCAUUACCAAGGACCCAGAACUGAUAGUCAGGACUUUAAGGCUGGGUGAAUAAAAAAUUGAUGGUUGGAAAAUUAAGGAGGAGUUCUCUUGUUUGUGUUUUGACAUUUUGGAGGUGUUCACAGAUGAAGACAAGCGGGGAGUUGAACCAGCGACCUUUGGAUGACAGCACUUCAUGUGAGAAACUUCCUACAGUCCUCUGCUCUACCAACUGAGCUAUCGAGGUGCUGUCUACUCACAAGUGCAAAAAACAUAGUGGCUGAGACGACAUACUUUGCCCACACAACUAUUUGAUCCACAUGGUCAAUGAAAAGCCCAGCCCUACCUGCAGAACAAAGCUUCGCAGUUUGUACCCAACAGUCAUUGCCAGGGACCCAGAACUGAUAAUCAGGACUUUUAGGCUUGGCUUUUUAAUGACAUGGCUAAUCAAAAGCCCAGUCCUACCUUCAGAACAGAGCUUCACAGUUUGUACCCGACAGUCAUUGCCAAGGACCCAGAACUGAUAGUCAGGACUUUACAUUGGGUGAAUAAAAAAUUGAUGGUUGGAAAAUUAAGGAGGAGUUCUCUUGUUUGUGUUUUGACAUUUUGGAGGUGUUCACAGAUGAAGACAUGGACAAGCGGGGAGUUGAACCAGCGACCUUUGGAUCACAGGACUUCCUACAGUCCUCUGCUCUACCAACUGAGCUAUCGAGGUGCUCUCUACUCACAAGUGCAGAAAACAUAGUGGCUGAGACGACACACUUUGCCCACACAACUAUUUGAUCCACAUGGUCAAUGAAAAGCCCAGCCCUACCUGCAGAAUAAAGCUUCGCAGUUUGUACCCAACAGUCAUUGCCAGGGACCCAGAACUGAUAAUCAGGACUUUUAGGCUUGGCUUUUGAUUGACAUGGCCAAUCAAAAGCCCAGUCCUACCUUCAGAACAGAGCUUCACAGUUUGUAUCCGACAGUCAUUGCCAAGGACCCAGAACUGAUAGUCAGGACUUUAAGGCUGAGUGAAUAAAAAAUUGAUGGUUGGAAAAUUAAGGAGGAGUUCUCUUGUUUGUGUUUUGACAAUUUGGAGGUGUUCACAGAUGAAGACAAGGAAAAGCAGGGAGUUGAACCAGCGACCUUUGGAUCACAGCACUUCAUGUGAGAAACUUCCUACAGCCCUCUGCUCUACCAACUGAGCUAUCGAGGUGCUCUCUACUAAUAAGUGCAGAAAACAUAGUGGCUGAGACGACACACUUUGCCCACACAACUAUUUGAUCCACAUGGUCAAUGAAAAGCCCAGCCCUACCUGCAGAACAAAGCUUCGCAGUUUGUACCCAACAGUCAUUACCAGGGACCCAGAACUGAUAAUCAGGACUUUUAGGCUUGGCUUUUGAUUGACAUGGCCAAUCAAAAGCCCAGUCCUACCUUCAGAACAGAGCUUCACAGUUUGUACCCGACAGUCAUUGCCAAGGACCCAGAACUGAUAGUCAGGACUUUAAGGCUGGGUGAAUAAAAAAUUGAUGGUUGGAAAAUUAAGGAGGAGUUCUCUUGUUUGUGUUUUGACAUUUUGGAGGUGUUCACAGAUGAAGACAUGGACAAGCGGGGAGUUGAACCAGCGACCUUUGGAUCACAGCACUUCCUACAGUCCUCUGCUCUACCAACUGAGCUAUCGAGGUGCUCUCCACUCACAAGUGCAGAAAACAUAGUGGCUGAGACGACACACUUUGCCCACACAACUAUUUGAUCCACAUGGUCAAUGAAAAGCCCGGCCCUACCUGCAGAACAAAGCUUCGCAGUUUGUAACCAACAGUCAUUACCAGGGACCCAGAACUGAUAGUCAGGACUUUAAUUGAUGGUUGGAAAAUUAAGGAGGAGUUCUCUUGUUUGUGUUUUGACAUUUUGGAGGUGUUCACAGAUGAAGACAAGCUGGGAGUUGAACCAGCGACCUUUGGAUGACAGCACUUCAUGUGAGGAACUUCCUACAGUCCUGUGCUCUACCAACUGAGCUAUCGAGGUGCUGUCUACUCACAAGUGCAGAAAACAUAGUGGCUGAGACGACAUACUUUGCCCACACAACUAUUUGAUCCACAUGGUCAAUGAAAAGCCCAGCCCUACCUGCAGAACAAAGCUUCGCAGUUUGUACCCAACAGUCAUUGCCAGGGACCCAGAACUGAUAAUCAGGACUUUUAUGCUUGGCUUUUUAUUGACAUGGCUAAUCAAAAGCCCAGUCCUACCUUCAGAACAGAGCUUCACAGUUUGUACCCGACAGUCAUUGCCAAGGACCCAGAACUGAUAGUCAGGACUUUAAGACUGGGUGAAUAAAAAAUUGAUGGUUGGAAAAUUAAGGAGGAGUUCUCUUGUUUGUGUUUUGACAUUUUGGAGGUGUUCACAGAUGAAAACAAGGACAAGCUGGGAGUUGAAACAGCGACCUUUGGAUGACAGCACUUCAUGUGAGGAACUUCCUACAGUCCUCUGCUCUACCAACUGAGCUAUCGAGGUGCUGUCUACUCACAAGUGCAGAAAACAUAGUGGCUGAGACGACAUACUUUGCCCACACAACUAUUUGAUCCACAUGGUCAAUGAAAAGCCCAGCCCUACCUGCAGAACAAAGCUUCGCAGUUUGUACCCAACAGUCAUUGCCAGGGACCCAGAACUGAUAAUCAGGACUUUUAGGCUUGGAUUUUGAUUGACAUGGCUAAUCAAAAGCCCAGUCCUACCUUCAGGACAGAGCUUCACAGUUUGUACCCGACAGUCAUUGCCAAGGACCCAGAACUGAUAGUCAGGACUUUAAGGCUGGGUGAAUAAAAAAUUGAUGGUUGGAAAAUUAAGGAGGAGUUCUCUUGUUUGUGUUUUGACAUUUUGGAGGUGUUCACAGAUGAAGACAAGCGGGGAAUUGAACCAGCGACCUGUGGAUCACAGCACUUCAUGUGAGGAACUUCCUAAAGUCCUCUGCUCUACCAACUGAGCUAUCGAGGUGCUCUGUACUUACAAUUGCAGAAAACAUAGUGGCUGAGACGACACACUUUGCCCACACAACUAUUUGAUCCACAUGGUCAAUGAAAAGCCCAGCCCUACCUGCAGAACAAAGCUUCGCAGUUUGUACCCAACAGUCAUUACCAGGGACCCAGAACUGAUAAUCAGGACUUUUGGCUUGGCUUUUGAUUGACAUGGCUAAUCAAAAGCCCAGUCCUACCUUCAGAACAGAGCUUCACAGUUUGUACCCGACAGUCAUUGCCAAGGACCCAGAACUGAUAGUCAGGACUUUAAGGCUGGGUGAAUAAAAAAUUGAUGGUUGGAAAAUUAAGGAGGAGUUCUCUUGUUUGUGUUUUGACAUUUUGGAGGUGUUCACAGAUGAAGACAAGGACAAAUGGGGAGUUGAACCAGCGACCUUUGGAUCACAGCACUUCCUACAGUCCUCUGCUCUUCCAACUGAGCUAUCGAGGUGCUCUCUACUCACAAGUGCAGAAAACAUAGUGGCUGAGACGACACACUUUGCCCACACAACUAUUUGAUCCACAUGGUCAAUGAAAAGCCAAGCCCUACCUGCAGAACAAAGCUUCGCAGUUUGUACCCAACAGUCAUUGCCAGGGACCCAGAACUGAUAAUCAGGACUUUUAGGCUUGGAUUUUGAUUGACAUGGCUAAUCAAAAGCCCAGUCCUACCUUCAGAACAGAGCUUCACAGUUUGUACCCAACAGUCAUUGCCAAGGACCCAGAACUGAUAGUCAGGACUUUAAGGCUGGGUGAAUAAAAAAUUGAUGGUUGGAAAAUUAAGGAGGAGUUCUCUUGUUUGUGUUUUGACAUUUUGGAGGUGUUCACAGAUGAAGACAAGCGGGGAGUUGAACCAGCGACCUUUGAAUCACAGCACUUCAUGUGAGGAACUUCCUACAGUCCUCUGCUCUACCAACUGAGCUAUCAAGGUGCUGACUACUCACAAGUGCAGAAAACAUAGUGGCUGAGACGACAUACUUUGCCCACACAACUAUUUGAUCCACAUGGUCAAUGAAAAGCCCGGCCCUACCUGCAGAACAAAGCUUCGCAGUUUGUACCCAACAGUCAUUGCCAGGGACCCAGAACUGAUAAUCAGGACUUUUAGGCUUGGCUUUUUAUUGACAUGGCUAAUCAAAAGCCCAGUCCUACCUUCAGAACAGAGCUUCACAGUUUGUACCCGACAGUCAUUGCCAAGGACCCAGAACUGAUAGUCAGGACUUUAAAUUGGGUGAAUAAAAAAUUGAUGGUUGGAAAAUUAAGGAGGAGUUCUCUUGUUUGUGUUUUGACAUUUUGGAGGUGUUCACAGAUGAAGACAUGGACAAGCGGGGAGUUGAACCAGCGACCUUUGGAUCACAGCACUUCCUACAGUCCUCUGCUCUACCAACUGAGCUAUCGAGGUGCUCUCUACUCAAAAGUGCAGAAAACAUAGUGGCUGAGACGACACACUUUGCCCACACAACUAUUUGAUCCACAUGGUCGAUGAAAAGCCCAGCCCUACCUGCAGAACAAAGCUUCGCAGUUUGUACCCAACAGUCAUUACCAGGGACCCAGAACUGAUAAUCAGGACUUUUAGGCUUGGCUUUUGAUUGACAUGGCCAAUCAAAAGCCCAGUCCUACCUUCAGAACAGAGCUUCACAGUUUGUACCCGACAGUCAUUGCCAAGGACCCAGAACUGAUAGUCAGGACUUUAAGGCUGGGUGAAUAAAAAAUUGAUGGUUGGAAAAUUUAGGAGGAGUUCUCUUGUUUGUGUUUUGACAUUUUGGAGGUGUUCACAGAUGAAGACAAGGACAAAUGGGGAGUUGAACCAGCGACCUUUGGAUCACAGCACUUCCUACAGUCCUCUGCUCUACCAACUGAGCUAUCGAGGUGCUCUCUACUCAAAAGUGCAGAAAACAUAGUGGCUGAGACGACACACUUUGCCCACACAACUAUUUGAUCCACAUGGUCAAUGAAAAGCCCAGCCCUACCUGCAGAACAAAGCUUCGCAGUUUGUACCCAACAGUCAUUGCCAGGGACCCAGAACUGAUAAUCAGGACUUUUAGGCUUGGAUUUUGAUUGACAUGGCUAAUCAAAAGCCCAGUCCUACCUUCAGGACAGAGCUUCACAGUUUGUACCCAACAGUCAUUGCCAAGGACCCAGAACUGAUAGUCAGGACUUUAAGGCUGGGUGAAUAAAAAAUUGAUGGUUGGAAAAUUAAGGAGGAGUUCUCUUGUUUGUGUUUUGACAUUUUGGAGGUGUUCACAGAUGAAGACAAGCGGGGAGUUGAACCAGCGACCUUUGGAUGACAGCACUUCAUGUGAGGAACUUCCUACAGUCCUCUGCUCUACCAACUGAGCUAUCGAGGUGCUCUCUACUCACAAGUGCAGAAAACAUAGUGGCUGAGACGACAUACUUUGCCCACACAACUAUUUGAUCCACAUGGUUAAUGAAAAGCCCAGCCCUACCUGCAGAACAAAGCUUCGCAGUUUGUACCCAACAGUCAUUGCCAGGGACCCAGAACUGAUAAUCAGGACUUUUAGGCUUGGCUUUUUAUUGACAUGGCUAAUCAAAAGCCCAGUCCUACCUUCAGAACAGAGCUUCACAGUUUGUACCCGACAGUCAUUGCCAAGGACCCAGAACUGAUAGUCAGGACUUUAAGGCUGAGUGAAUAAAAAAUUGAUGGUUGGAAAAUUUAGGAGGAGUUCUCUUGUUUGUGUUUUGACAUUUUGGAGGUGUUCACAGAUGAAGACAUGGACAAGCGGGGAGUUGAACCAGCGACCUUUGGAUCACAGCACUUCCUACAGUCCUCUGCUCUACCAACUGAGCUAUCGAGGUGCUCUCUACUCACAAGUGCAGAAAACAUAGUGGCUGAGACGACACACUUUGCCCACACAACAAUUUGAUCCACAUGGUCAAUGAAAAGCCCAGCCCUACCUGCAGAAUAAAGCUUCGCAGUUUGUACCCAACAGUCAUUGCCAGGGACCCAGAAAUGAUUAUCAGGACUUUUAGGCUUGGCUUUUGAUUGACAUGGCCAAUCAAAAGCCCAGUCCUACCUUCAGAACAGAGCUUCACAGUUUGUACCCGACAGUCAUUGCCAAGGACCCAGAACUGAUAGUCAGGACUUUAAGGCUGGGUGAAUAAAAAAUUGAUGGUUGGAAAAUUAAGGAGGAGUUCUCUUGUUUGUGUUUUGACAUUUUGGAGGUGUUCACAGAUGAAGACAAGGACAAAUGGGGAGUUGAACCAGCGACCUUUGGAUCACAGCACUUCAUGUGAGGAACUUGUUACAGUCCGCUGCUCUACCAACUGAGCUAUCGAGGUGCUCUCUACUCACAAGUGCAGAAAACAUAGUGGCUGAGACGACACACUUUGCCCACACAACUAUUUGAUCCACAUGGUCAAUGAAAAGCUCAGCCCUACCUGCAGAAUAAAGCUUCGCAGUUUGUACCCAACAGUCAUUGCCAGGGACCCAGAACUGAUAAUCAGGACUUUUAGGCUUGGCUUUUUAUUGACAUGGCUAAUCAAAAGCCCAGUCCUACCUUCAGAACAGAGCUUCACAGUUUGUACCCGACAGUCAUUGCCAAGGACCCAGAACUGAUAGUCAGGACUUUAAAUUGGGUGAAUAAAAAAUUGAUGGUUGGAAAAUUAAGGAGGAGUUCUCUUGUUUGUGUUUUGACAUUUUGGAGGUGUUCAGAGAUGAAGACAUGGACAAGCCGGGAGUUGAACCAGCGACCUUUGGAUCACAGCACUUCCUACAGUCCUCUGCUCUACCAACUGAGCUAUCGAGGUGCUCUCUACUCACAAGUGCAGAAAACAUAGUGGCUGAGACGACACACUUUGCCCACACAACUAUUUGAACCACAUGGUCAAUGAAAAGCCCAGCCCUACCUGCAGAACAAAGCUUCGCAGUUUGUACCCAACAGUCAUUACCAGGGACCCAGAAAUGAUUAUCAGGACUUUUAGGCUUGGCUUUUGAUUGACAUGGCCAAUCAAAAGCCCAGUCCUACCUUCAGAACAGAGCUUCACAGUUUGUAUCCGACAGUCAUUGCCAAGGACCCAGAACUGAUAGUCAGGACUUUAAGGCUGGGUGAAUAAAAAAUUGAUGGUUGGAAAAUUAAGGAGGAGUUCUCUUGUUUGUGUUUUGACAUUUUGGAGGUGUUCACAGAUGAAGACAAGGACAAAUGGGGAGUUGAACCAGCGACCUUUGGAUCAAAGCACUUCAUGUGAGGAACUUCCUAAAGUCCUCUGCUCUACCAACUGAGCUAUCGAGGUCCUCUCUACUCACAAGUGCAGAAAACAUAGUGGCUGAGACGACACACUUUGCCCACACAACUAUUUGAUCCACAUGGUCAAUGAAAAGCCCAGCCCUACCUGCAGAAUAAAGCUUCGCAGUUUGUACCCAACAGUCAUUGCCAGGGACCCAGAACUGAUAAUCAGGACUUUUAGGCUUGGAUUUUGAUUGACAUGGCUAAUCAAAAGCCCAGUCCUACCUUCAGGACAGAGCUUCACAGUUUGUAUCCAACAGUCAUUACCAAGGACCCAGAACUGAUAGUCAGGACUUUAAGGCUGGGUGAAUAAAAAAUUGAUGGUUGGAAAAUUAAGGAGGAGUUCUCUUGUUUGUGUUUUGACAUUUUGGAGGUGUUCACAGAUGAAGACUAGCGGGGAGUUGAACCAGCGACCUUUGGAUGACAGCUCUUCAUGUGAGAAACUUCCUACAGUCCUCUGCUCUACCAACUGAGCUAUCGAGGUGCUGUCUACUCACAAGUGCAAAAAACAUAGUGGCUGAGACGACAUACUUUGCCCACACAACUAUUUGAUCCACAUGGUCAAUGAAAAGCCCAGCCCUACCUGCAGAACAAAGCUUCGCAGUUUGUACCCAACAGUCAUUGCCAGGGACCCAGAACUGAUAAUCAGGACUUUUAGGCUUGGCUUUUUAAUGACAUGGCUAAUCAAAAGCCCAGUCCUACCUUCAGAACAGAGCUUCACAGUUUGUACCCGACAGUCAUUGCCAAGGACCCAGAACUGAUAGUCAGGACUUUACAUUGGGUGAAUAAAAAAUUGAUGGUUGGAAAAUUAAGGAGGAGUUCUCUUGUUUGUGUUUUUACAAUUUGGAGGUGUUCACAGAUGAAGACAAGGAAAAGCAGGGAGUUGAACCAGCGACCUUUGGAUCACAGGACUUCCUACAGCCCUCUGCUCUACCAACUGAGCUAUCGAGGUGCUCUCUACUCACAAGUGCAGAAAACAUAGUGGCUGAGACGACACACUUUGCCCACACAACUAUUUGAUCCACAUGGUCAAUGAAAAGCCCAGCCCUACCUGCAGAAUAAAGCUUCGCAGUUUGUACCCAACAGUCAUUGCCAGGGACCCAGAACUGAUAAUCAGGACUUUUAGGCUUGGCUUUUGAUUGACAUGGCCAAUCAAAAGCCCAGUCCUACCUUCAGAACAGAGCUUCACAGUUUGUAUCCGACAGUCAUUGCCAAGGACCCAGAACUGAUAAUCAGGACUUUAAGGCUGAGUGAAUAAAAAAUUGAUGGUUGGAAAAUUAAGGAGGAGUUCUCUUGUUUGUGUUUUUACAAUUUGGAGGUGUUCACAGAUGAAGACAAGGAAAAGCAGGGAGUUGAACAAGCGACCUUUGGAUCACAGCACUUCAUGUGAGAAACUUCCUACAGCCCUCUGCUCUACCAACUGAGCUAUCGAGGUGCUCUCUACUAACAAGUGCAGAAAACAUAGUGGCUGAGACGACACACUUUGCCCACACAACUAUUUGAUCCACAUGGUCAAUGAAAAGCCCAGCCCUACCUGACGAACAAAGGUUCGCAGUUUGUACCCAACAGUCAUUGCCAGGGACCCAGAACUGAUAAUCAGGACUUUUAAACUUGGCUUUUUAAUGACAUGGCUAAUCAAAAGCCCAGUCCUACCUUCAGAAAAGAGCUUCACAGUUUGUACCCGACAGUCAUUGCCAAGGACCCAGAACUGAUAGUCAGGACUUUAAGGCUGGGUGAAUAAAAAAUUGAUGGUUGGAAAAUUAAGGAGGAGUUCUCUUGUUUGUGUUUUGACAUUUUGGAGGUGUUCACAGAUGAAAACAAGGACAAGCUGGGAGUUGAACCAGCGACCUUUGGAUCACAGCAGUUCAUGUGAGGAACUUCCUACAGUCCUCUGCUCUACCAACUGAGCUAUCGAGGUGCUCUCAACUCGCAAGUGCAGAAAACAUAGUGGCUGAGACGACACACUUUGCCCACACAACUAUUUGAUCCACAUGGUCAAUGAAAAGCCAAGCCCUACCUGCAGAACAAAGCUUCGCAGUUUGUACCCAACAGUCAUUGCCAGGGACCCAGAACUGAUAAUCAGGACUUUUAGGCUUGGAUUUUGAUUGACAUGGCUAAUCAAAAGCCCAGUCCUACCUUCAGGACAGAGCUUCACAGUUUGUACCCAACAGUCAUUGCCAAGGACCCAGAACUGAUAGUCAGGACUUUAAGGCUGGGUGAAUAAAAAAUUGAUGGUUGGAAAAUUAAGGAGGAGUUGUCUUGUUUGUGUUUUGACAUUUUGGAGGUGUUCACAGAUGAAGACAAGCGGGGAGUUGAACCAGCGACCUUUGGAUCAGAGCACUUCAUGUGAGGAACUUCCUAAAGUCCUCUGCUCUACCAACUGAGCUAUCGAGGUGCUCUAUACUCACAAGUGCAGAAAACAUAGUGGCUGAGACGACACACUUUGCCCACACAACUAUUUGAUCCACAUGGUCAAUGAAAAGCCCAGCCCUACCUGCAGAACAAAGCUUCGCAGUUUGUACCCAACAGUCAUUACCAGGGACCCAGAACUGAUAAUCAGGACUUUUAGGCUUGGCUUUUGAUUGACAUGGCCAAUCAAAAGCCCAGUCCUACCUUCAGAACAGAGCUUCACAGUUUGUACCCGACAGUCAUUGCCAAGGACCCAGAACUGAUAGUCAGGACUUUAAGGCUGGGUGAAUAAAAAAUUGAUGGUUGGAAAAUUAAGGAGGAGUUCUCUUGUUUGUGUUUUGACAUUUUGGAGGUGUUCACAGAUGAAGACAUGGACAAGCGGGGAGUUGAACCAGCGACCUUUGGAUCACAGCAAUUCCUACAGUCCUCUGCUCUACCAACUGAGCUAUCGAGGUGCUCUCCACUCACAAGUGCAGAAAACAUAGUGGCUGAGACGACACACUUUGCCCACACAACUAUUUGAUCCACAUGGUCAAUGAAAAGCCCGGCCCUACCUGCAGAACAAAGCUUCGCAGUUUGUAACCAACAGUCAUUACCAGGGACCCAGAACUGAUAGUCAGGACUUUAAUUGAUGGUUGGAAAAUUAAGGAGGAGUUCUCUUGUUUGUGUUUUGACAUUUUGGAGGUGUUCACAGAUGAAGACAAGCUGGGAGUUGAACCAGCGACCUUUGGAUGACAGCACUUCAUGUGAGGAACUUCCUACAGUCCUGUGCUCUACCAACUGAGCUAUCGAGGUGCUGUCUACUCACAAGUGCAGAAAACAUAGUGGCUGAGACGACAUACUUUGCCCACACAACUAUUUGAUCCACAUGGUCAAUGUAAAGCCCAGCCCUACCUGCAGAACAAAGCUUCGCAGUUUGUACCCAACAGUCAUUGCCAGGGACCCAGAACUGAUAAUCAGGACUUUUAUGCUUGGCUUUUUAUUGACAUGGCUAAUCAAAAGCCCAGUCCUACCUUCAGAACAGAGCUUCACAGUUUGUACCCGACAGUCAUUGCCAAGGACCCAGAACUGAUAGUCAGGACUUUAAGACUGGGUGAAUAAAAAAUUGAUGGUUGGAAAAUUAAGGAGGAGUUCUCUUGUUUGUGUUUUGACAUUUUGGAGGUGUUCACAGAUGAAAACAAGGACAAGCUGGGAGUUGAAACAGCGACCUUUGGAUGACAGCACUUCAUGUGAGGAACUUCCUACAGUCCUCUGCUCUACCAACUGAGCUAUCGAGGUGCUGUCUACUCACAAGUGCAGAAAACAUAGUGGCUGAGACGACAUACUUUGCCCACACAACUAUUUGAUCCACAUGGUCAAUGAAAAGCCCAGCCCUACCUGCAGAACAAAGCUUCGCAGUUUGUACCCAACAGUCAUUGCCAGGGACCCAGAACUGAUAAUCAGGACUUUUAGGCUUGGAUUUUGAUUGACAUGGCUAAUCAAAAGCCCAGUCCUACCUUCAGGACAGAGCUUCACAGUUUGUACCCGACAGUCAUUGCCAAGGACCCAGAACUGAUAGUCAGGACUUUAAGGCUGGGUGAAUAAAAAAUUGAUGGUUGGAAAAUUAAGGAGGAGUUCUCUUGUUUGUGUUUUGACAUUUUGGAGGUGUUCACAGAUGAAGACAAGCGGGGAAUUGAACCAGCGACCUGUGGAUCACAGCACUUCAUGUGAGGAACUUCCUAAAGUCCUCUGCUCUACCAACUGAGCUAUCGAGGUGCUCUGUACUUACAAUUGCAGAAAACAUAGUGGCUGAGACGACACACUUUGCCCACACAACUAUUUGAUCCACAUGGUCAAUGAAAAGCCCAGCCCUACCUGCAGAACAAAGCUUCGCAGUUUGUACCCAACAGUCAUUACCAGGGACCCAGAACUGAUAAUCAGGACUUUUUGGCUUGGCUUUUGAUUGACAUGGCUAAUCAAAAGCCCAGUCCUACCUUCAGAACAGAGCUUCACAGUUUGUACCCGACAGUCAUUGCCAAGGACCCAGAACUGAUAGUCAGGACUUUAAGGCUGGGUGAAUAAAAAAUUGAUGGUUGGAAAAUUAAGGAGGAGUUCUCUUGUUUGUGUUUUGACAUUUUGGAGGUGUUCACAGAUGAAGACAAGGACAAAUGGGGAGUUGAACCAGCGACCUUUGGAUCACAGCACUUCCUACAGUCCUCUGCUCUUCCAACUGAGCUAUCGAGGUGCUCUCUACUCACAAGUGCAGAAAACAUAGUGGCUGAGACGACACACUUUGCCCACACAACUAUUUGAUCCACAUGGUCAAUGAAAAGCCAAGCCCUACCUGCAGAACAAAGCUUCGCAGUUUGUACCCAACAGUCAUUGCCAGGGACCCAGAACUGAUAAUCAGGACUUUUAGGCUUGGAUUUUGAUUGACAUGGCUAAUCAAAAGCCCAGUCCUACCUUCAGAACAGAGCUUCACAGUUUGUACCCAACAGUCAUUGCCAAGGACCCAGAACUGAUAGUCAGGACUUUAAGGCUGGGUGAAUAAAAAAUUGAUGGUUGGAAAAUUAAGGAGGAGUUCUCUUGUUUGUGUUUUGACAUUUUGGAGGUGUUCACAGAUGAAGACAAGCGGUGAGUUGAACCAGCGACCUUUGGAUCACAGCACUUCAUGUGAGGAACUUCCUACAGUCCUCUGCUCUACCAACUGAGCUAUCAAGGUGCUGACUACUCACAAGUGCAGAAAACAUAGUGGCUGAGACGACAUACUUUGCCCACACAACUAUUUGAUCCACAUGGUCAAUGAAAAGCCCGGCCCUACCUGCAGAACAAAGCUUCGCAGUUUGUACCCAACAGUCAUUGCCAGGGACCCAGAACUGAUAAUCAGGACUUUUAGGCUUGGCUUUUUAUUGACAUGGCUAAUCAAAAGCCCAGUCCUACCUUCAGAACAGAGCUUCACAGUUUGUACCCGACAGUCAUUGCCAAGGACCCAGAACUGAUAGUCAGGACUUUAAAUUGGGUGAAUAAAAAAUUGAUGGUUGGAAAAUUAAGGAGGAGUUCUCUUGUUUGUGUUUUGACAUUUUGGAGGUGUUCACAGAUGAAGACAUGGACAAGCGGGGAGUUGAACCAGCGACCUUUGGAUCACAGCACUUCCUACAGUCCUCUGCUCUACCAACUGAGCUAUCGAGGUGCUCUCUACUCACAAGUGCAGAAAACAUAGUGGCUGAGACGACACACUUUGCCCACACAACUAUUUGAUCCACAUGGUCAAUGAAAAGCCCAGCCCUACCUGCAGAACAAAGCUUCGCAGUUUGUACCCAACAGUCAUUACCAGGGACCCAGAACUGAUAAUCAGGACUUUUAGGCUUGGCUUUUGAUUGACAUGGCCAAUCAAAAGCCCAGUCCUACCUUCAGAACAGAGCUUCACAGUUUGUACCCGACAGUCAUUGCCAAGGACCCAGAACUGAUAGUCAGGACUUUAAGGCUGGGUGAAUAAAAAAUUGAUGGUUGGAAAAUUUAGGAGGAGUUCUCUUGUUUGUGUUUUGACAUUUUGGAGGUGUUCACAGAUGAAGACAAGGACAAAUGGGGAGUUGAACCAGCGACCUUUGGAUCACAGCACUUCCUACAGUCCUCUGCUCUACCAACUGAGCUAUCGAGGUGCUCUCUACUCAAAAGUGCAGAAAACAUAGUGGCUGAGACGACACACUUUGCCCACACAACUAUUUGAUCCACAUGGUCAAUGAAAAGCCCAGCCCUACCUGCAGAACAAAGCUUCGCAGUUUGUACCCAAAAGUCAUUGCCAGGGACCCAGAACUGAUAAUCAGGACUUUUAGGCUUGGAUUUUGAUUGACAUGGCUAAUCAAAAGCCCAGUCCUACCUUCAGGACAGAGCUUCACAGUUUGUACCCAACAGUCAUUGCCAAGGACCCAGAACUGAUAGUCAGGACUUUAAGGCUGGGUGAAUAAAAAAUUGAUGGUUGGAAAAUUAAGGAGGAGUUCUCUUGUUUGUGUUUUGACAUUUUGGAGGUGUUCACAGAUGAAGACAAGCGGGGAGUUGAACCAGCGACCUUUGGAUGACAGCACUUCAUGUGAGGAACUUCCUACAGUCCUCUGCUCUACCAACUGAGCUAUCGAGGUGCUCUCUACUCACAAGUGCAGAAAACAUAGUGGCUGAGACGACAUACUUUGCCCACACAACUAUUUGAUCCACAUGGUUAAUGAAAAGCCCAGCCCUACCUGCAGAACAAAGCUUCGCAGUUUGUACCCAACAGUCAUUGCCAGGGACCCAGAACUGAUAAUCAGGACUUUUAGGCUUGGCUUUUUAUUGACAUGGCUAAUCAAAAGCCCAGUCCUACCUUCAGAACAGAGCUUCACAGUUUGUACCCGACAGUCAUUGCCAAGGACCCAGAACUGAUAGUCAGGACUUUAAGGCUGAGUGAAUAAAAAAUUGAUGGUUGGAAAAUUAAGGAGGAGUUCUCUUGUUUGUGUUUUGACAUUUUGGAGGUGUUCACAGAUGAAGACAUGGACAAGCGGGGAGUUGAACCAGCGACCUUUGGAUCACAGCACUUCCUACAGUCCUCUGCUCUACCAACUGAGCUAUCGAGGUGCUCUCUACUCACAAGUGCAGAAAACAUAGUGGCUGAGACGACACACUUUGCCCACACAACAAUUUGAUCCACAUGGUCAAUGAAAAGCCCAGCCCUACCUGCAGAAUAAAGCUUCGCAGUUUGUACCCAACAGUCAUUGCCAGGGACCCAGAAAUGAUUAUCAGGACUUUUAGGCUUGGCUUUUGAUUGACAUGGCCAAUCAAAAGCCCAGUCCUACCUUCAGAACAGAGCCUCACAGUUUGUACCCGACAGUCAUUGCCAAGGACCCAGAACUGAUAGUCAGGACUUUAAGGCUGGGUGAAUAAAAAAUUGAUGGUUGGAAAAUUAAGGAGGAGUUCUCUUGUUUGUGUUUUGACAUUUUGGAGGUGUUCACAGAUGAAGACAAGGACAAAUGGGGAGUUGAACCAGCGACCUUUGGAUCACAGCACUUCAUGUGAGGAACUUGCUACAGUCCGCUGCUCUACCAACUGAGCUAUCGAGGUGCUCUCUACUCACAAGUGCAGAAAACAUAGUGGCUGAGACGACACACUUUGCCCACACAACUAUUUGAUCCACAUGGUCAAUGAAAAGCUCAGCCCUACCUGCAGAAUAAAGCUUCGCAGUUUGUACCCAACAGUCAUUGCCAGGGACCCAGAACUGAUAAUCAGGACUUUUAGGCUUGGCUUUUUAUUGACAUGGCUAAUCAAAAGCCCAGUCCUACCUUCAGAACAGAGCUUCACAGUUUGUACCCGACAGUCAUUGCCAAGGACCCAGAACUGAUAGUCAGGACUUUAAAUUGGGUGAAUAAAAAAUUGAUGGUUGGAAAAUUAAGGAGGAGUUCUCUUGUUUGUGUUUUGACAUUUUGGAGGUGUUCAGAGAUGAAGACAUGGACAAGCGGGGAGUUGAACCAGCGACCUUUGGAUCACAGCACUUCCUACAGUCCUCUGCUCUACCAACUGAGCUAUCGAGGUGCUCUCUACUCACAAGUGCAGAAAACAUAGUGGCUGAGACGACACACUUUGCCCACACAACUAUUUGAACCACAUGGUCAAUGAAAAGCCCAGCCCUACCUGCAGAACAAAGCUUCGCAGUUUGUACCCAACAGUCAUUACCAGGGACCCAGAAAUGAUUAUCAGGACUUUUAGGCUUGGCUUUUGAUUGACAUGGCCAAUCAAAAGCCCAGUCCUACCUUCAGAACAGAGCUUCACAGUUUGUAUCCGACAGUCAUUGCCAAGGACCCAGAACUGAUAGUCAGGACUUUAAGGCUGGGUGAAUAAAAAAUUGAUGGUUGGAAAAUUAAGGAGGAGUUCUCUUGUUUGUGUUUUGACAUUUUGGAGGUGUUCACAGAUGAAGACAAGGACAAAUGGGGAGUUGAACCAGCGACCUUUGGAUCAAAGCACUUCAUGUGAGGAACUUCCUAAAGUCCUCUGCUCUACCAACUGAGCUAUCGAGGUCCUCUCUACUCACAAGUGCAGAAAACAUAGUGGCUGAGACGACACACUUUGCCCACACAACUAUUUGAUCCACAUGGUCAAUGAAAAGCCCAGCCCUACCUGCAGAAUAAAGCUUCGCAGUUUGUACCCAACAGUCAUUGCCAGGGACCCAGAACUGAUAAUCAGGACUUUUAGGCUUGGAUUUUGAUUGACAUGGCUAAUCAAAAGCCCAGUCCUACCUUCAGGACAGAGCUUCACAGUUUGUAUCCAACAGUCAUUACCAAGGACCCAGAACUGAUAGUCAGGACUUUAAGGCUGGGUGAAUAAAAAAUUGAUGGUUGGAAAAUUAAGGAGGAGUUCUCUUGUUUGUGUUUUGACAUUUUGGAGGUGUUCACAGAUGAAGACAAGCGGGGAGUUGAACCAGCGACCUUUGGAUGACAGCACUUCAUGUGAGAAACUUCCUACAGUCCUCUGCUCUACCAACUGAGCUAUCGAGGUGCUGUCUACUCACAAGUGCAAAAAACAUAGUGGCUGAGACGACAUACUUUGCCCACACAACUAUUUGAUCCACAUGGUCAAUGAAAAGCCCAGCCCUACCUGCAGAACAAAGCUUCGCAGUUUGUACCCAACAGUCAUUGCCAGGGACCCAGAACUGAUAAUCAGGACUUUUAGGCUUGGCUUUUUAAUGACAUGGCUAAUCAAAAGCCCAGUCCUACCUUCAGAACAGAGCUUCACAGUUUGUACCCGACAGUCAUUGCCAAGGACCCAGAACUGAUAGUCAGGACUUUACAUUGGGUGAAUAAAAAAUUGAUGGUUGGAAAAUUAAGGAGGAGUUCUCUUGUUUGUGUUUUGACAUUUUGGAGGUGUUCACAGAUGAAGACAUGGACAAGCGGGGAGUUGAACCAGCGACCUUUGGAUCACAGGACUUCCUACAGUCCUCUGCUCUACCAACUGAGCUAUCGAGGUGCUCUCUACUCACAAGUGCAGAAAACAUAGUGGCUGAGACGACACACUUUGCCCACACAACUAUUUGAUCCACAUGGUCAAUGAAAAGCCCAGCCCUACCUGCAGAAUAAAGCUUCGCAGUUUGUACCCAACAGUCAUUGCCAGGGACCCAGAACUGAUAAUCAGGACUUUUAGGCUUGGCUUUUGAUUGACAUGGCCAAUCAAAAGCCCAGUCCUACCUUCAGAACAGAGCUUCACAGUUUGUAUCCGACAGUCAUUGCCAAGGACCCAGAACUGAUAGUCAGGACUUUAAGGCUGAGUGAAUAAAAAAUUGAUGGUUGGAAAAUUAAGGAGGAGUUCUCUUGUUUGUGUUUUGACAAUUUGGAGGUGUUCACAGAUGAAGACAAGGAAAAGCAGGGAGUUGAACCAGCGACCUUUGGAUCACAGCACUUCAUGUGAGAAACUUCCUACAGCCCUCUGCUCUACCAACUGAGCUAUCGAGGUGCUCUCUACUAAUAAGUGCAGAAAACAUAGUGGCUGAGACGACACACUUUGCCCACACAACUAUUUGAUCCACAUGGUCAAUGAAAAGCCCAGCCCUACCUGCAGAACAAAGCUUCGCAGUUUGUACCCAACAGUCAUUACCAGGGACCCAGAACUGAUAAUCAGGACUUUUAGGCUUGGCUUUUGAUUGACAUGGCCAAUCAAAAGCCCAGUCCUACCUUCAGAACAGAGCUUCACAGUUUGUACCCGACAGUCAUUGCCAAGGACCCAGAACUGAUAGUCAGGACUUUAAGGCUGGGUGAAUAAAAAAUUGAUGGUUGGAAAAUUAAGGAGGAGUUCUCUUGUUUGUGUUUUGACAUUUUGGAGGUGUUCACAGAUGAAGACAUGGACAAGCGGGGAGUUGAACCAGCGACCUUUGGAUCACAGCACUUCCUACAGUCCUCUGCUCUACCAACUGAGCUAUCGAGGUGCUCUCCACUCACAAGUGCAGAAAACAUAGUGGCUGAGACGACACACUUUGCCCACACAACUAUUUGAUCCACAUGGUCAAUGAAAAGCCCGGCCGUACCUGCAGAACAAAGCUUCGCAGUUUGUAACCAACAGUCAUUACCAGGGACCCAGAACUGAUAGUCAGGACUUUAAUUGAUGGUUGGAAAAUUAAGGAGGAGUUCUCUUGUUUGUGUUUUGACAUUUUGGAGGUGUUCACAGAUGAAGACAAGCGGGGAGUUGAACCAGCGACCUUUGGAUGACAGCACUUCAUGUGAGGAACUUCCUACAGUCCUGUGCUCUACCAACUGAGCUAUCGAGGUGCUGUCUACUCACAAGUGCAGAAAACAUAGUGGCUGAGACGACAUACUUUGCCCACACAACUAUUUGAUCCACAUGGUCAAUGAAAAGCCCAGCCCUACCUGCAGAACAAAGCUUCGCAGUUUGUACCCAACAGUCAUUGCCAGGGACCCAGAACUGAUAAUCAGGACUUUUAUGCUUGGCUUUUUAUUGACAUGGCUAAUCAAAAGCCCAGUCCUACCUUCAGAACAGAGCUUCACAGUUUGUACCCGACAGUCAUUGCCAAGGACCCAGAACUGAUAGUCAGGACUUUAAGACUGGGUGAAUAAAAAAUUGAUGGUUGGAAAAUUAAGGAGGAGUUCUCUUGUUUGUGUUUUGACAUUUUGGAGGUGUUCACAGAUGAAAACAAGGACAAGCUGGGAGUUGAAACAGCGACCUUUGGAUGACAGCACUUCAUGUGAGGAACUUCCUACAGUCCUCUGCUCUACCAACUGAGCUAUCGAGGUGCUGUCUACUCACAAGUGCAGAAAACAUAGUGGCUGAGACGACAUACUUUGCCCACACAACUAUUUGAUCCACAUGGUCAAUGAAAAGCCCAGCCCUACCUGCAGAACAAAGCUUCGCAGUUUGUACCCAACAGUCAUUGCCAGGGACCCAGAACUGAUAAUCAGGACUUUUAGGCUUGGCUUUUUAUUGACAUGGCUAAUCAAAAGCCCAGUCCUACCUUCAGAACAGAGCUUCACAGUUUGUACCCGACAGUCAUUGCCAAGGACCCAGAACUGAUAGUCAGGACUUUAAAUUGAGUGAAUAAAAAAUUGAUGGUUGGAAAAUUAAGGAGGAGUUCUGUUGUUUGUGUUUUGACAUUUUGGAGGUGUUCACAGAUGAAGACAUGGACAAGCGGGGAGUUGAACCAGCGACCUUUGGAUCACAGCACUUCCUACAGUCCUCUGCUCUACCAACUGAGCUAUCGAGGUGCUCUCUACUCGCAAGUGCAGAAAACAUAGUGGCUGAGACGACACACUUUGCCCACACAACUAUUUGAUCCACAUGGUCAAUGAAAAGCCUAGCCCUACCUCCAGAACAAAGCUUCGCAGUUUGUACCCAACAGUCAUUACCAGGGACCCAGAACUGAUAAUCAGGACUUUUAGGCUUGGAUUUUGAUUGACAUGGCCAAUCAAAAGCCCAGUCCUACCUUCAGGACAGAGCUUCACAGUUUGUACCCAACAGUAAUUGCCAAGGACCCAGAACUGAUAGUCAGGACUUUAAGGCUGGGUGAAUAAAAAAUUGAUGGUUGGAAAAUUAAGGAGGAGUUCUCUUGUUUGUGUUUUGACAUUUUGGAGGUGUUCACAGAUGAAGACAAGCGGGGAGUUGAACCAGCGACCUUUGGAUCACAGCACUUCAUGUGAGGAACUUCCUAAAGUCCUCUGCUCUACAAACUGAGCUAUCGAGGUGCUCUCUACUCGCAAGUGCAGAAAACAUAGUGGCUGAGACGACACACUUUGCCCACACAACUAUUUGAUCCACAUGGUCAAUGAAAAGCCCAGCCCUACCUGCAGAACAAAGCUUCGCAGUUUGUACCCAACAGUCAUUGCCAGGGACCCAGAACUGAUAAUCAGGACUUUUAAACUUGGCUUUUUAAUGACAUGGCUAAUCAAAAGCCCAGUCCUACCUUCAGAAAAGAGCUUCACAGUUUGUACCCGACAGUCAUUGCCAAGGACCCAGAACUGAUAGUCAGGACUUUAAGGCUGGGUGAAUAAAAAAUUGAUGGUUGGAAAAUUAAGGAGGAGUUCUCUUGUUUGUGUUUUGACAUUUUGGAGGUGUUCACAGAUGAAGACAAGCGGGGAGUUGAACCAGCGGCCUUUGGAUCACAGCACUUCCUACAGUCCUCUGCUCUACCAACUGAGCUAUCGAGGUGCUCUACACUCACAAGUGCAGAAAACAUAGUGGCUGAGACGACACACUAUGCCCACACAACUAUUUGAUCCACAUGGUCAAUGAAAAGCUCAGCCCUACCUGCAGAAUAAAGCUUCGCAGUUUGUACCCAACAGUCAUUGCCAGGGACCCAGAACUGAUAAUCAGGACUUUUAGGCUUGGCUUUUUAUUGACAUGGCUAAUCAAAAGCCCAGUCCUACCUUCAGAACAGAGCUUCACAGUUUGUACCCGACAGUCAUUGCCAAGGACCCAGAACUGAUAGUCAGGACUUUAAGGCUGGGUGAAUAAAAAAUUGAUGGUUGGAAAAUUAAGGAGGAGUUCUCUUGUUUGUGUUUUGACAUUUUGGAGGUGUUCACAGAUGAAGACAUGGACAAGCAGGGAGUUGAACCAGCGACCUUUGGAUCACAGCACUUCCUAGAGUCCUCUGCUCUACCAACUGAGCUAUCGAGGUGCUCUCUACUCACAAGUGCAGAAAACAUAGUGGCUGAGAUGACACACUUUGCCCACACAACUAUUUGAUCCACAUGGUCAAUGAAAAGCCCAGCCCUACCUGCAGAACAAAGCUUCGCAGUUUGUACCCAACAGUCAUUACCAGGGACCCAGAACUGAUAAUCAGGACUUUUAGGCUUGGCUUUUGAUUGACAUGGCCAAUCAAAAGCCCAGUCCUACCUUCAGAACAGAGCUUCACAGUUUGUACCCGACAGUCAUUGCCAAGAACCCAGAACUGAUAGUCAGGACUUUACAUUGGGUGAAUAAAAAAUUGAUGGUUGGAAAAUUAAGGAGGAGUUCUCUUGUUUGUGUUUUGACAUUUUGGAGGUGUUCACAGAUGAAGACAUGGACAAGCGGGGAGUUGAACCAGCGACCUUUGGAUCACAGCACUUCCUACAGUCCUCUGCU